rnacentral:rRNA from 1 species
GAUGAACGCUGGCGGCGUGCCUAAUACAUGCAAGUCGAGCGAACAGACGAGGAGCUUGCUCCUCUGACGUUAGCGGCGGACGGGUGAGUAAAACGUGGAUAACCUACCUAUACGACUGGGAUAACUUCGGGAAGCCGGAGCUAAUACCGGAUAAUAGAUUGAACCGCAUGGUUCAAUAGGGAAAGACGGUUUUGCUGUCACUUAUAGAUGGAUCCGCGCCGCAUUAGCUAGUUGGUAGGGUAACGGCUUACCCAUGCGACGAUGCGUAGCCGACCUGAGCGGGGGAUCGGCGACACUGGUGCGGAGACGCGGUCCAGAAUCCUACGGGAGGAAGCAGUAGGGAAGGGUCUGGCACGGUCGGAAGCAGGACGGUGCAGCGCCGCGUGGGGGAUGAAGGUCUUCGGAGCGUAAAGCUCUGCUAUUGGGGAAGAAGAAAUUCGUACGCAUCGAGGUGGGGUUUGACGUUACCGAGUCAUGAAGCGCCGGCUAACUACGUG